CACUAAUUUGCGAAUCAACAGAAUAAAUAAAUUCAAUUACACGAUCAAUGGGGCUUUUGAUAUUGUCAGCGAAAAUCUGAAUGAUUUUGAUUGUGAAGCAAAAAUGCUCCACAGCUCACAAGGAAAUAAUCAGUAUAGACUAAUGCCGUAUAAAGUUUCCAAACGAACUUGCUGCAAAUUUUUUAACAGUUGGCUUUGGGAAGUAAUUCAUCGAGAACUGGAAAAAAAAUCGGAUAUACCGAAAGGGCUGAAACCCACUUGUCGCGCGUACGUCAAAGGAAACUACACAGUACAUGCAUUCGAUUUCGAUCAAAGAGUUUUGCCAAUAUUUUGGGGACCUGGUGCGUACAAGGCCAACUGUUAUGCGUAUCACAAAAAUGCUGUUUAUACUGGCUGUAAAGUUAGUCUUGCUUUUCGAUUA